CGGAGCUCAGAGCGGAUGCAGCUGAUGAAGAGACUGAAGUUAUUUUAAAGAGUUUAUUGAGGUGAGUGUAACUUUACUCACACACACAGUGUUACAGUGUGUGUGUGUGUGUGUGUGUGUGUGUGUGUGUGUGGGUGUGUGUGACAGUCUGACUGAUGGAUCUCUCUCUCUCUGCUGAAUCUACACGGAAGUGUGCAAACUCCGGUUUGUGUCUCACUCUGCAGACAUGAACAAAGUGUGUCACACCUCAAGAUCCGCUCGUGCUGCUUCAAACUGACCUUCACUCCAAACAAAUCUCACAGAGACAAAGUCUGAACCACAGACCCUCUGAACCACAGACCCUCUGAACCACAGACCCUCUGAACCACAGACCCUCUGAACCAGCACCCCGCCUCCAAACACGCCCUGAACUGUGCAGCGAGCCAGCGCCGAGGAACGGACAGACAAGUCUGAACUCUUCUCUGAUGUCAUCACAUUCACACCUGUUCGGUUAAACGAACUGAGCCGAACUGAGCCGAACUGAGCCGAAGCUUCACCCGAGUCAGAGAGUCUGAGACAGGUGGUGUGAUGCCUGAAGACUCUUUUAGCUCCUCCCAUGACGUCCCAAUGGAUAAAGGUAAGACACUCCCCUUCUUCUUCAUGAGCGUCGUCUUCACAAACAAUGAGGACUUUCUGUUGUUGUUGUUGUUGCUGUUGUUGUUGUUGUUGGGCGGCAGUAGCUCA